rnacentral:lncRNA from 1 species
CAACGUUCUUUGGAGAACCUUAGGGUUCUUUUCUCUGAAAAUGCCCACCAAAAGGUUGUUCCAAGAACAUCAUAGGAGGUGGUGUUCAUCAAAGGAACCUCCUUAGUUGGUGGGGGUUCUUGCAAGAACCUAACUGCCCAACUGAAACAUUUGGAUUUGAAAGGACAGCAGGUGCAGGCACUUAAUUGAAAAAAUGGAAAGGUAUAAAGACAAGGAGGCAUACAAUGGUAUGUCAAUUGGUAUUGGCAUGUUAUGCAGAUCACAUUUACCUCCCUUACCUCUUCAAUGAAUAUCCCAUAGGCCUCUACAUUAUGGAUAAGACUUCACCCUCCCAACACCUCUGAUGAAUAUAACAGGAAACCUGUUCGAUCACCAUUCACUGCAAAAACAUUCUGGCUAUGGAUACGGAC